rnacentral:rRNA from 1 species
GACAGAGGCCUCAAGCGUUAGGCGGAAUCACUGGGCUUAAAGCGUGUGUAGGCGGGUCGUUAAGUACCUUGUGAAAUCCCACGGCUCACCCGUGGAACUGCUGGGUAUACUGGCGAUCUUGGGCCAUUCAGGGGCAACUGGAACAAGCGGUGGAGCGGUGAAAUGCGUAGAGAUCCGGAAGAACACCGGUGGCGAAGGCGGCCUGCUGGGCAGUAGCUGACGCUGAGGCGCGACAGCGUGGGGAGCAAACAGG